AGGGCGCACGGUGGAUGCCUUGGCACUAGAAGCCGAUGAAGGACGUUACUAACGACGAUAUGCUUUGGGGAGCUGUAAGUAAGCUUUGAUCCAGAGAUUUCCGAAUGGGGAAACCCAGCAUGAGUUAUGUCAUGUUAUCGAUAUGUGAAUACAUAGCAUAUCAGAAGGCACACCCGGAGAACUGAAACAUCUUAGUACCCGGAGGAAGAGAAAGAAAAUUCGAUUCCCUUAGUAGCGGCGAGCGAAACGGGAAGAGCCCAAACCAACAAGCUUGCUUGUUGGGGUUGUAGGACACUCUAUACGGAGUUACAAAGGACGACAUUAGACGAAUCAUCUGGAAAGAUGAAUCAAAGAAGGUAAUAAUCCUGUAGUCGAAAAUGUUGUCUCUCUUGAGUGGAUCCUGAGUACGACGGAGCACGUGAAAUUCCGUCGGAAUCUGGGAGGACCAUCUCCUAAGGCUAAAUACUCUCUAGUGACCGAUAGUGAACCAGUACCGUGAGGGAAAGGUGAAAAGCACCCCGGAAGGGGAGUGAAAUAGAACCUGAAACCGUGUGCUUACAAGUAGUCAGAGCCCGUUAAUGGGUGAUGGCGUGCCUUUUGUAGAAUGAACCGGCGAGUUAUGAUUUGAUGCAAGGUUAAGCAGUAAAUGUGGAGCCGUAGCGAAAGCGAGUCUGAAUAGGGCGUUUAGUAUUUGGUCGUAGACCCGAAACCAGGUGAUCUACCCUUGGUCAGGUUGAAGUUCAGGUAACACUGAAUGGAGGACCGAACCGACUUACGUUGAAAAGUGAGCGGAUGAACUGAGGGUAGCGGAGAAAUUCCAAUCGAACCUGGAGAUAGCUGGUUCUCUCCGAAAUAGCUUUAGGGCUAGCCUCAAGUGAUGAUUAUUGGAGGUAGAGCACUGUUUGGACGAGGGGCCCCUCUCGGGUUACCGAAUUCAGACAAACUCUGAAUGCCAAUUAAUUUAACUUGGGAGUCAGAACAUGGGUGAUAAGGUCCGUGUUCGAAAGGGAAACAGCCCAGACCACCAGCUAAGGUCCCAAAAUAUAUGUUAAGUGGAAAAGGAUGUGGCGUUGCCCAGACAACUAGGAUGUUGGCUUAGAAGCAGCCAUCAUUUAAAGAGUGCGUAAUAGCUCACUAGUCGAGUGACACUGCGCCGAAAAUGUACCGGGGCUAAACAUAUUACCGAAGCUGUGGAUUGUCCUUUGGACAAUGGUAGGAGAGCGUUCUAAGGGCGUUGAAGCAUGAUCGUAAGGACAUGUGGAGCGCUUAGAAGUGAGAAUGCCGGUGUGAGUAGCGAAAGACGGGUGAGAAUCCCGUCCACCGAUUGACUAAGGUUUCCAGAGGAAGGCUCGUCCGCUCUGGGUUAGUCGGGUCCUAAGCUGAGGCCGACAGGCGUAGGCGAUGGAUAACAGGUUGAUAUUCCUGUACCACCUAUAAUCGUUUUAAUCGAUGGGGGGACGCAGUAGGAUAGGCGAAGCGUGCGAUUGGAUUGCACGUCUAAGCAGUAAGGCUGAGUAUUAGGCAAAUCCGGUACUCGUUAAGGCUGAGCUGUGAUGGGGAGAAGACAUUGUGUCUUCGAGUCGUUGAUUUCACACUGCCGAGAAAAGCCUCUAGAUAGAAAAUAGGUGCCCGUACCGCAAACCGACACAGGUAGUCAAGAUGAGAAUUCUAAGGUGAGCGAGCGAACUCUCGUUAAGGAACUCGGCAAAAUGACCCCGUAACUUCGGGAGAAGGGGUGCUCUUUAGGGUUAACGCCCAGAAGAGCCGCAGUGAAUAGGCCCAAGCGACUGUUUAUCAAAAACACAGGUCUCUGCUAAACCGUAAGGUGAUGUAUAGGGGCUGACGCCUGCCCGGUGCUGGAAGGUUAAGAGGAGUGGUUAGCUUCUGCGAAGCUACGAAUCGAAGCCCCAGUAAACGGCGGCCGUAACUAUAACGGUCCUAAGGUAGCGAAAUUCCUUGUCGGGUAAGUUCCGACCCGCACGAAAGGCGUAACGAUUUGGGCACUGUCUCAACGAGAGACUCGGUGAAAUCAUAGUACCUGUGAAGAUGCAGGUUACCCGCGACAGGACGGAAAGACCCCGUGGAGCUUUACUGUAGCCUGAUAUUGAAAUUCGGCACAGCUUGUACAGGAUAGGUAGGAGCCUUUGAAACGUGAGCGCUAGCUUACGUGGAGGCGCUGGUGGGAUACUACCCUAGCUGUGUUGGCUUUCUAACCCGCACCACUUAUCGUGGUGGGAGACAGUGUCAGGCGGGCAGUUUGACUGGGGCGGUCGCCUCCUAAAAGGUAACGGAGGCGCUCAAAGGUUCCCUCAGAAUGGUUGGAAAUCAUUCAUAGAGUGUAAAGGCAUAAGGGAGCUUGACUGCGAGACCUACAAGUCGAGCAGGGUCGAAAGACGGACUUAGUGAUCCGGUGGUUCCUCAUGGAAGGGCCAUCGCUCAACGGAUAAAAGCUACCCCGGGGAUAACAGGCUUAUCUCCCCCAAGAGUUCACAUCGACGGGGAGGUUUGGCACCUCGAUGUCGGCUCAUCGCAUCCUGGGGCUGUAGUCGGUCCCAAGGGUUGGGCUGUUCGCCCAUUAAAGCGGUACGCGAGCUGGGUUCAGAACGUCGUGAGACAGUUCGGUCCCUAUCCGUCGUGGGCGUAGGAAAUUUGAGAGGAGCUGUCCUUAGUACGAGAGGACCGGGAUGGACAUACCUCUGGUGUACCAGUUGUCGUGCCAACGGCAUAGCUGGGUAGCUAUGUGUGGACGGGAUAAGUGCUGAAAGCAUCUAAGCAUGAAGCCCCCCUCAAGAUGAGAUUUCCCAACUUCGGUUAU
rnacentral:rRNA from 1 species